GUGUCACCCAAGGUGAUCGCCCUUGCGCUGGUGCACACCCCAUGGUGCCACCCCGCAGCGUCACCCAACCAUGUCACACCAUGACAUCCACCCCGUGGCAUGUCCUACCAUGCUGUCCACCCUACAAUGCCACCCAACGUCAUCUCCCACCCAAUGUCACACCACAUUGCACCCAACAAUGCCACCCAAUGGCAUCUCCCACCCAACAUCACACCAUGCUGUCCACCCAACGUCAUCUCCCACCCAAUGUCACACCACAUUGCUCCCAACAAUGCCACCCAAUGGCAUCUCCCACCCAACAUCACACCAUGUUGUCCACCCAACAAUGCCACCCAACGUCAUCUCCCACCCAACGUCACACCAUGCUGUCCACCCUACAAUGCCACCCAAUGGCAUCUCCCACCCAACAUCACACCAUGCUGUUCACCCAACAAUGCCACCCAACAACAUCUCCCACCCAACGUCACACCACAUUGCUCCCAACAAUGCCACCCAAUGGUAUCUCCCACCCAAUGUCACACCAUGCUGUCCACCCAACAAUGCCACCCAAUGGCAUCUCCCACCCAAUGUCACACCACGUUGCCCCCAUCUAUGUCAAGCCAAUGACACCCACCCCCAAUCCCCAUCCCCUGGUGUCCCCUCCAAUGUCACAUCGCACUGCCCACCCUUCAACACCACCCAGUGACACCCACCCCGUGAUGCCACCCCACAGUAUCACCCCCCCAGCUGUCACACCACGCUGCCCACCCUACAGUGGCACCACCCCAUGAUGCCACCCCAAGGAAAACACCCCCUCCCAAUGUCCCACCACACUGCCCACCCUAAAAUGCCACCCAAAGACACUGACCCUGAGGUCACACGAUGUUACCCCCCCCUCCCCAGCAAAGACACCCAGUGGCACCCACCCCCAAUGCCAUCCGCUGGUGUCCCCUCCAAUGACACACCCUGUUGCUCCCCCUACAAUGCCACCCACCCCAUGGCAUCCCCCUCCAAAGUCACACCACAGUGUCCCCCCUACUACACCACC
rnacentral:lncRNA from 1 species